GCACAAGCGGUGGAGCAUGUGGUUGAAUUCGAAGCAACGCGAAGAACCUUACCAGGUCUUGACAUCCUCUGACAAUCCUAGAGAUAGGACUUUCCCCUUCGGGGGACAGAGUGACAGGUGGUGCAUGGUUGUCGUCAGCUCGUGUCGUGAGAUGUUGGGUUAAGUCCCGCAACGAGCGCAACCCUUGUCCUUAGUUGCCAGCAUUUAGUUGGGCACUCCAAGGAGACUGCCGGUGACAAACCGGAGGAAGGUGGGGAUGACGUCAAAUCAUCAUGCCCCUUAUGACCUGGGCUACACACGUGCUACAAUGGAUGGUACAAAGGGCUGCAAGACCGCGAGGUUUAGCCAAUCCCAUAAAACCAUUCUCAGUUCGGAUUGUAGGCUGCAACUCGCCUACAUGAAGCCGGAAUCGCUAGUAAUCGUGGAUCAGCAUGCCACGGUGAAUACGUUCCCGGGC
rnacentral:rRNA from 1 species